rfam:Cladophialophora yegresii CBS 114405 aczIN-supercont1.1, whole genome shotgun sequence.
UCAGCGAUAGUUUAGUGGUAGAAUACCUGGCGGUCUAAGAGCCGUGCCCAGGUGGCUGUGGUUCGAUUCCAUGUCGCUGAG